rnacentral:rRNA from 1 species
CCCCUUGGACAAGACUGACGCUCAGGUGCGAAAGCGUGGGGAGCAAACAGGAUUAGAUACCUGGUAGUCACGCUGUAAACGAUGUCGAUUUGGAGGUUGUUCCCUUGAGGAGUGGCUUCCGGAGCUAACGCGUUAAAUCGACCGCCUGGGGAGUACGGCCGCAAGGUUAAAACUCAAAUGAAUUGACGGGGGCCCGCACAAGCGGUGGAGCAUGUGGUUUAAUUCGAUGCAACGCGAAGAACCUUACCUACUCUUGACAUCCAGAGAAUUUAGCAGAGAUGCUUUAGUGCCUUCGGGAACUCUGAGACAGGUGCUGCAUGGCUGUCGUCAGCUCGUGUUGUGAAAUGUUGGGUUAAGUCCCGCAACGAGCGCAACCCUUAUCCUUUGUUGCCAGCACAUUAUGGUGGGAACUCAAAGGAGACUGCCGGUGAUAAACCGGAGGAAGGUGGGGAUGACGUCAAGUCAUCAUGGCCCUUACGAGUAGGGCUACACACGUGCUACAAUGGCGUAUACAAAGAGAAGCGACCUCGCGAGAGCAAGCGGAACUCAUAAAGUACGUCGUAGUCCGGAUUGGAGUCUGCAACUCGACUCCAUGAAGUCGGAAUCGCUAGUAAUCGUAGAUCAGAAUGCUACGGUGAAUACGUUCCCGGGCCUUGUACACACCGCCCGUCACACCAUGGGAGUGGGUUGCAAAAGAAGUAGGUAGCUUAACCUUCGGGAGGGCGCUUACCACUUUGUGAUUCAUGACUGGGGUGAAGUCGUAACAAGGUAACCA